rnacentral:rRNA from 1 species
GGUACCGUCAAGGCCGAAGGGUAUUAACCUUCAAGCUUUUCUUUCCCGAUAAAAGUGCUUUACAACCCGCAGGCCUUCUUCACACACGCGGCAUUGCUGGAUCAGGCUUGCGCCCAUUGUCCAAUAUUCCCCA